UUGUUUUUUUCGGGUAACACCGUAUAUAUAGAGAUGGAGUCGGCCGAACAGUCGCGGGCUCCACAGGACAGGGUGCCAGGUAAUACCUGGGGGACGUGAGUCCACGGCCAGUGCAACAGAAAGUAUACCGCCUAAGCGCUCAUUUUUUGAGCGCCGGUAAGGGUGAAAUGGUGCGGUAAGAGCGCACCGCGUCGGUGGUAACACGCGACGGCAGGGUAAACCCCACUCGGAGCAAGACCAAAUAGGGGAACAUUCGCUUUGCGAACGAUGCGGUCCGUAUCGGUUCCCGGGUAGGUUGCUUGAGGUGUGCGGUGACGUACA
rfam:Gammaproteobacteria bacterium SG8_15 WOR_8-12_19294, whole genome shotgun sequence.